rnacentral:rRNA from 1 species
AUGAGGUGGAAACGGACAGAGCUGGCGUAUCUGGCCUGUAUUCAGCCAAUUGUUGCUUGGCGCUUGGUUUUUGCUCUCCAGACUGGGACAUGAGCUGAGUUUUGUUUGGUGGCAAUUGGUGCAUUUGCAGGUGGUGUGCGCCGAGGUGCUCGGAGCAGUUGCGCAAACUUGGUGUUGAGGCUAGCCGCCUUCACCGGUGACUGGUACCCGCACUGAGGGAGUGCUGUUUGCUCUGGGUGUUGUUGAACAUUGGUGUAGUCGGGCUUAAGUGGGUACCGAGCUGUCAUUGGGUGGCGGUCGCAUGCGACACGUGUCUACGGGCGGUUCGGUCCUACAUUUGCUCCCAGUUUUGUUCGUCCUCGGUGUAAAAGCCGGUCAUCUGUCUGACCCGUCUUGAAACACGGACCAAGGAGUUUAGCGUGUGCGCGAGUCAUUGGGUGUUGAAAACUCAUAGGCGCAAUGAAAGUGAAUGCAUCCUUUGUGGAGCUGAUGUGCGAUCUGGGUGCACUGCGGUGCCCUGGCGCAGCAUGGUCCCGUUUUGACCGCAUGCGGUAAGGCGGAGACAGAGCGUACGCGCUGAGACCCGAAAGAUGGUGAACUAUUCCUGAGCAGGAUGAAGCCAGAGGAAACUCUGGUGGAAGUCCGAAGCGAUUCUGACGUGCAAAUCGAUC